UUCGGUUUAUGUUAUCUUGCUUUGAAUUUAAAGGUAAAUAACCGAACAAAAAUUGUGAAAAUCGGAAGUUAAGGUUUGGAGUGAUUAAUCUAAAAUUUGAGAGUUAAAUAAUUUAUAUUAGAGUGUUAGAAAUGAUUUCUAAGCUUCCAGGGUCGAUUAGGGUUUGUAUGGGUUCGUCCAUGAUGCGUUUUUGGUUCUAGGGUUUAAUUUGCGAACAAUCAACGAAUUAAUGGCUUUAUUACAAUAACUCAAAAUUUAGGGAACUAAUAAGGUUUACAAAAGUUAGGGGUCUCACAAUUUCACAUUCGGAGGAAAUAGGUUCUGCUUUCACUACUGUUCAUCAUCACCACUCGCAAGGUUCGAUUUCUACGGAGCGUUCUCUUUUAGCAUUGAAUCUAUAAUUAGGGUUUUGCUUUGUCAAUUUUCUUCAGACCUUACAAAAAUUUGUAUCCCGAACCACUCGAUUCAACAGAUCGAAAUCACGAUCCGCUCAAAAAAUUGUUCAUUUUCUCCUGAAUCUGGUACUUUAUCUCAAAAAAUUGUUCCUUUAUAUGCAUGCAUGUUUGUCUUCGUCUUCGAUUUCAUUAUCUUCUACAUUUAUUGUCUUACUUUUUUAUCUACAUUGGAAGGCUACGAUUGAAGUCAAUUGAAUUCUGUUUCUUUGUCUUCGAUUGCAUUAUCUCCUACAUUUAUUGCCUCUGUAAUGUUCUUUAGGGCUAAGGUUGAAUUGAAUUAUCUACAUUGAAAGGCUACGAUGUCAAUUGAAUUCUGUCUGAUGUGGAUUUGAAUUUCAUUUGAAGGGAAAUCACGUUCAUGUGUGGUUGCUUUGAAUUUAACUUAUCGAUUUCAAGGAAGUAUAUUUUACUUGGAUCAGUAGAUUUGUUGAUGUAUGUUUUUGAAUUGACUGAAUUGUUCAUGUGUGCUUUAGAUCUAACAACAAUUCGUAUGUCGGACCACUCGAUUCAGCAGGUCGAAAUCACGAUCCGCUCCAAAAAUUGUUCAUUGUCCCUUGGAUUUGGUACUUUAAGUAUGUUUGUCUUUGUCUUCAAUUGCAUUAUCUCCUACAGUUAUUUUCUCUGUAAUGUUUUUUUAUUUUUUAUCUGCAUUGGAAGGCUACAAUCGAAGUCAAUUAAAUUUUGUUUGAUGUGGAUUUGAAUUUCAUUUGAAAGGAAAUCACAUUUUUGUGUGGUUGCUUUGAAUUUAACCUUUCAAUUUCGAGUGAGCAUGUUUUACUUGGAUCAGUAGAUUUGUUGAUGUAUGUUUUUGAAUUGAAUGAAUUGUUCGUGUGUGCUGUGAUUUGUAGCAUUUGUUUGAUAGAUCUUGAAAAAUUGGCUCCCCAACGCUGGCAGCGCCAUAUGGAUGGCCAAAUGCAAUAGAGCAAUGCUGCUACGACAACUGCUCUAUAUGAUCACCCUAGCGGAGGGUCCCUGCACAAUGAGGGUCCCGGGAGCAAUGUUGGAGAUGCAAUCUAGGCACGCUAGCUCCAAUUCGCAGGGUUUGCAGCAUCUGGCCUCACCCUUGGAAUCUACUGGAAUUGAUCAUCACCUCCUACCUAACUUUCUCAUGAAGCGAUGCUGGAGAUGUAGUCAUGGCACGCUGGCUCCAAUUUACCAAGUUGCAACAUCUAGCCUCACCCUUAGCAUCUACCGGAGUUAAUCAUCGCCUCCUAUCUAACCUUCUCAUGCAGGCAUUGGAAUUUGGUGAGGAGAAUAGUUGUAAAGGCUCCAUCAAUAGAGGUAAUCAAGAUUUCAUCCAUUUUUUUGCUUCUAUUUUUUAUUUUUUGUACAUUCAUGUUGUAAGUUGAUAAUUUAAUCUUUUACUCCAUUUCCAUAGUUCAAAGACCAACUUCAUGAUGUCACUUGGAAUAAUUGAAGUUUUGCAGUAAUUAAAGUUCAAAAUAAUUGGUUUUACCACUAUAUAAUUUCUAUUACUACAAUGUUCACCAAAUGCUUGAUAAAUUGUUUCUCUAUUUGAUGUGUUUGAUGUGUUUAUUAGUUCACAGGGAAUGGAAGAUGAGGGAAGAUUAAUCGAAUGAUCAAACUUUUGGUUGAGGAAAAAGUUUCCCUUUGCUAAACUUUUGAUUGGGGUGAGGAAAAGGUUUCCUUUUUCUUGACUGGAUUAAGUUUAUGAAUUUAUCUAUUUUUUGGAUAAUAUGCUAUUUGCUAAUUAUUUUUAUUAUUAUUUAUUGUUUUUGGGAAAGACUAAAAAAAUUAGCAAUUUUUUGCUUUUUUGUUUGCAUUACUUCUAAAUAGUUUGAAUGCUCUCAAUUGGAUCUUAGUUGUGAGUCUAUGAAAUAUUUCUUUUGAGAUUGUGGUUUGAGGAUUUUUGAAAUGGAUGCUCCUUGCAUUGUGGUGCCAAAGAUAUCCAUAAAGGUUAUCAAAGAAAGAGCAUUUUUCUUGGUCAGUAAAUCUCUCUUUGUUUUGGCCUCUAUAUGGAUGUGUCUUUGAAACAUUUUUUUGAUAUAUAGUAGUUUCCCGGGCAAACCCCACGUGUCUGGAUGCAUAAAAUAUUUGCUACAUAGAUUAAAAAAUAAAGAGGGUGUGUGGGUGUGGGAUGAGGGGGAGUAGAGAUAGAGGGAGGCAAAAAGUGCAGAUAAAUGAAUAAAAUGGUGUGAGACAAAUUGCUUCUUGAAAAGUUAUCUACCUAAGUGCUGAAUUCCAUGUCUCUAAAAGACUGACAUGCUUAAGUUUAGAAAUUAAAUAUAUUUGCUGAAUGUGCUUGAUGAUGGAGGGGGUCAUUUAUAAACAUUAGUGUUUGAUAAUGUGUUUAAGAGCUAAAAUCUAAUAAUGUGUUUAGAACUUUCAAUUAGUGCUGGAUGAUUUUUGCUUUUGCAACUAUUAUAGAUAGUGCUUGAUCUUUUGAGAUUGGUAUAAUCCAUAGACAUAUAUGCUUGAUUGGAGGGUUAGUUGAUUGCCCAAAGAAGGGUGGCUUUGUUAAUUAAGGUUUAGUUUCUAUUUUUUUUUUUUUUACUUUCUAUUGUUUUUUGCUCUCUGUAAUUGGUUUAUUAACUAAGCUUUACCAAAAGAGAAGUGUAAUAUGAAGAGUCUGAGAUUUAAGCUUAGGAAAGUGGAAUGAGUGUUGUAACUAAUUAAUGCUGCAAUAUCACUGAGACUUGAGUGUAAUAUGUUCAUGGGUUUGUUAAUCAUACAUUUUAUUUAACUAAUUGAUACAUUUUUCUUACUAUAUUUUGGCCUUUGAUAUACUUUAAUUUUGUACAAUAGGGGUGAGUGACAGAGCACGAUUUUUCUUUCCAUGCCUUUUCUUUUUAAACAUUAUAUGAGAGAUGGUUUGUUAAUAUUGCAAUCACUAAGAUUAUAUUCUUUUUGAAUUUCAGCCGAAAUUCAAAUGAGACCAACCUCCUCAAUUAGAGCAAGAAAGUUGAUAGCUUGGAUAAUAAUAAUAGUGAUACUAUAAGAAAAGAACAAAUUUUUUUUCGAAAUUAUUUUGUGAAUAAAUUUUUCAUAUACUACAUAAAAGAUUAGACAGGAGAAGAUUA